rnacentral:rRNA from 1 species
GGCGAGUGAAGCGGGAAGAGCUCAAAUUUGUAAUCUAACUUCUUAGAAGUUCGAGUUGUAAUCUCGAGAAGUGUUUUCCGUGUUGGACCGCAUACAAGUCUGUUGGAAUACAGCGUGAAAUAGGUGAUAACCCUGUCCAUGAUGCGGAUACAGCCAAUACUUUGUGUCACACUUUCGAAGAGUCGAGUUGUUUGGGAAUGCAGCUCAAAUUGGGUGGUAAAUUCCAUCUAAAGCUAAAUAUUGGCGAGAGACCGAUAGCGAACAAGUACCGUGAGGGAAAGAUGAAAAGCACUUUGGAAAGAGAGUUAACAGUACGUGAAAUUGUUGGAAGGGAAACGCUUCAACUUAGACUUGCAGGUGGGUGUUCACUCGUUACAAGGUAUUCACUCACUCGCAGGCCAGCAUCAGUUUUCGGGGGUGAAAAAUCGUUUUUAAAAGGUAGCAUUCCUCGUGAAUGUGUUAUAGUUUUAGACUGGAUUCAUCCUUGGGGACUGAGGUUAGUAGGGUACUGUAUUGUAUCAGUUUCGGCUGAUUUACCCUUUGGAUGUCGGU